AGCAGCCGCGGUAAUUCCAGCUCCAAUAGCGUAUAUUAAAGUUGUUGCAGUUAAAAAGCUCGUAGUUGAAUUUCGGGGUUAGUAGGUUGGUCAUGCCUCUGGUAUGUACUGGUCUCACUGAUUCCUCCUUCCUGAUGAACCUUAAUGCCAUUUAUUUGGUGUUUUGGGGAAUUUGGACUGUUACUUUGACAAAAUUAGAGUGUUUAAAGCAAGCUAACGCUUGAAUACAUUAGCAUGGAAUAAUGAAAUAGGACGUUCGAUCCUAUUUUGUUGGUUUCUAGGAUUGACGUAAUGAUUAAUAGGGAUAGUUGGGGGCAUUAGUAUUCAAUUGUCAGAGGUGAAAUUCUUGGAUUUAUUGAAGACUAACUACUGCGAAAGCAUUUGCCAAGGAUGUUUUACAUUAAUCAAGAACGAAAGUUAGGGGAUCGAAGACGAUCAGAUACCGUCGUAGUCUUAACCAUAAACUAUGCCGACUAGGGAUCGGAUGAUGUUAAUUUUUAAUGACUCUAUUCGGCGCCUU
rnacentral:rRNA from 1 species